AUUGAACGCUGGCGGCAUGCCUAACACAUGCAAGUCGAGCGGAUGAAGGGAGCUUGCUCCUGGAUUCAGCGGCGGACGGGAGAGUAAUGCCUAGGAAUCUGCCUGGUCGUGGGGGAUGGGGUCCGGAAACGGGCGCUAAUACCACAUCCGUCCUGAGCGAGAGGGUGGGGGAGGGUCGGACCUCACGCUAUCAGAUGAGCCUAGGUCGGAUUAGCUAGUUGGUGGGGUAAAGGCCUACCAAGGCGACGAUCCGUAACUGGUCUGAGAGGAUGAUCAGUCACACUGGAACUGAGACACGGUCCAGACUCCUACGGGAGGCAGCAGUGGGGAAUUUUGGACAAUGGGCGAAAGCCUGAUCCAGCAAUGCCGCGUGUGUGAAGAAGGUCUUCGGAUUGUAAAGCACUUUAAGUUGGGAGGAAGGGCAGUAAGUUAAUACCUGGCGUUUUUGACGGUACCAAAAGAAUAAGGACCGGCUAACUACGUG
rnacentral:rRNA from 1 species